rnacentral:rRNA from 1 species
GAUGAACGCUGGCGGCGUGCCUAAUACAUGCAAGUCGAGCGAACGGACGAGAAGCUUGCUUCUCUGAUGUUAGCGGCGGACGUGUGAGUAACACGUGGAUAACCUACCUAUAAAACUGGGAUAACUUCGGGAAACCGGAGCUAAUACCGUAUAAUAUUUUGAACCGCAUGGUUCAAAAGUGAAAUACGGUCUUGCUGUCACUUAUAGAUUGAUCCGCGCUGCAUUAGCUAGUUGGUAAGGUAACGGCAUACCAAGGCAACGAUGCAUAGCCGACCUGAGAGGGUGAUCGCCCACACGGGAACUGAGACACGGUCCAGACACCUACGGGAGGACGCAGUAGGGAAUCUUACGCGAUGGGCGAAAGCCUGACGGAGCACAGCCGCGUGAGUGAUGAAGGUCUUCGGAUCGUAAAACUCUGUUAUUAGGGAAGAACAUAUGUGUAAGUAACUGUGCACAUAUUGACGGUACCUAAUCAGAAAGCCACGGCUAACUACGUG